CUAAGUCAUGGCCUGAAGCAGUGAUGGAGCACCUGGUGCAAGGCAGGGCCAGCCCAGGGGAGCUCAGGUGCAUGCAAUGCCAGGAGCCAGGAUCCACCCCUUCCCAGCCCUCAUUUAAGGGCUGGUAGUGGAGGUGAGGGGAUUUCAGUGCCCAUCCCUGCUUACCUGAGACUUUCUGAAGCCACAGGGUUCCUCCCGCAUGGUGUCCUGGUGGGAUGGGUCUGGAGCUGAAGCAGAGGAGCAGCACCACAGGAAAUGGACACUUGGCAUCGCCCUCGUUAAACCUCACCUGGGAUCGACUCCAUGGAAAGGAACAUGAAGGCAACUGGAUGAAAGGUGCCUGAGAAAGGAAGAUGUGAGGGCUCUGUGCUGACCAAACCUCCCCAGCGUGCCCGCAUUCCAUGCAGAGCCAAUGGCUGCCCACAGCAGACGGCCCCAUCCACGCAUGGUGCCAGGAAGGGCUAUGAGCACAUCGCAGAUUCCUGUUGGCAAAACAGGCCAAAGAAAGGCUACAAAAUAAAUAAUCACUUUCAUCUGAACUGCAGCAGAAGAGGCAAUAAAAUGAAAUGAAAGCACUGAGCGAAGCUGUUGUGUCUAACAGGAAUCCUGACCCCUGGUCUCAGCUCCCCUCUUUUAUGUUUUUCUGACUUCAGCACUAUUGUGGGCAGAUGCCUUUGAAUAUGAUUUAUUUGUUUGUCUUGGCAUCCAAACAAGGAGCCCCGGGACCAGAAAAUACGAUGGAGAGCCCACUUCCGAGUUCCCCUUCAGCCCCACGCACGCUGCCCCGUGUGCCUCGGAGAGGCUUCGUUACGCAGCGCAGCGGGGGGAGAGGAGGACGCAACAGUCGAUAGCCCUAAAACAAUGCGCCGGGCUGGCCCCGGGCCCGAAGGGUUGGACUCCAUUCCUCCAACUGUCAGGGAAACGGGGCUGGACUCAGGAGAGGGACGUGCCUCAUCCGAGCCCAUCCGUGCACGCACCGCGAGGGGCCGCGUUCAGCUCCACUCUGAGCCCCCCGGGCUGCGCUGCCGUGGGAGCAGGGGCUGUGUCCCGCUGUCCCUGGGGAGCAGGGCUGCCGCUGAGCUCCCCGGCGCUGAGCUGCUCGGCAUCGAGUGGGGCGAGCGCUGCCGCAGGCUUUGGCCGGGCGGUGCUAUCGGAAAGGGCUCCAAGAGCUUUCUUGGUGCGCGUCCAAACGUCUUUGUGUUUCCCAGCUUUUUGCUGUUGGAUUGCAGAGGACGAUUUAAAGCCGGAGCCAACUAUCUACCAGAAUGAAACAGUUUCACAAAUUGUAAGGCCAAAGGGACCAUUAGAUUACGCAGUCCAACCUUCUGUACAAGA